GAGAGGCUGAGGCAAGGUUCCGCAGCUCCAGGACUUAAGAUGUUUUCAUUGAUCAGGCGCCAUUUAGGACAUAGAAGACCUUCAGUAGCUAAAAGCAGUAAGCCAUCUAAACCUUUUCUGCCAACUUCUCAUUCUCCCCAAGAGGGCUACUUAAAGGAGUGUGAAGACAGGCUAAG